rnacentral:rRNA from 1 species
UACGUAGGUGGCGAGCGUUGUCCGGAUUUACUGGGCGUAAAGAGCGCGCAGGCGGCUGGUCAAGUCCGAUGUGAAAGCUCCCGGCUUAACUGGGAAAUUGCAUCGGAAACUGAUCGGCUGGAAGGUGGGAGAGGUAGCGGAAUUCCCGGUGUAGUGGUUGAAAUGCGUAGAUAUCGGGAGGAACACCAGUGGCGAAAGCGGCUACCUGGCCCAUUCUUGACGCU